CAAUAAGCGGAGGAAAAGAAACUAACAAGGAUUCCCCUAGUAACGGCGAGCGAACCGGGAAGAGCUCAAAUUUGAAAUCUGGCGUCCCACGGGCGUCCGAGUUGUAAUCUGCAGAGGCGUCUUCCGCCCCGGACCGCGUCCAAGUCCCUUGGAACAGGGUAUCAAAGAGGGUGACAAUCCCGUGCUUGACGCGACCCCCGGUGCUAUGUGAUGCGACCUCAAAGAGUCGAGUUGUUUGGGAAUGCAGCUCAAAACGGGUGGUAAAUUCCAUCUAAGGCUAAAUAUUGGCGAGAGACCGAUAGCGAACAAGUACCGUGAGGGAAAGAUGAAAAGCACUUUGGAAAGAGAGUUAAACAGUACGUGAAAUUGUUGGAAGGGAAACGAUUGAAGUCAGUCGUGUCCGAGGGGUUCAGCCGGUCCUGCCGGUGCACUCCCCUCGGACGGGUCAACAUCGGUUCUGUCCGGCGGACAAGGGCAGGGGGAACGUGGCACCCUCGUGGUGUGUUAUAGCCCCCCGUCGCAUACGUCGGUCGGGACCGAGGAUCGCAGCUCGCCCUCACGGGCCGGGGUUCGCUCACGUCCGAGCUUAGGAUGUUGACGUAAUGGCUUUAAAC
rnacentral:rRNA from 1 species